GCUUUGCUAGAGCUUCUUUCUUCUAGGCCAGAAGAGGAGCCGAGUUUUUGAAGACACUGUAGUUUAAUUCGUGGCUGUAAAUUGUUGCCUUGGUUCAAGCAUUGUAAGAUUAUCAUGGGCUGAUCCAAAAUUUGAUUUGAAUAUUAAUUAAGAUAAUGUGGAAGACAAGUGUUCCGACUAUGGACGGGUGAAGCGUAUAUAUGUUGACAAGUGCUAGGAUGAACAUCUGUUUGAUGUGGAAAUUACCAUAACAUGGGGUUUACAAGUAGCAUGAAUAAAACACUUGAAGAAUCAUACCACAUCAGAACCGGCCACCAGUUACAAAUUUUCUCCUCAUCACAACAGCAGUAAUGUGGCCACCAACCCAUGGAUGCAAAUUUGCAGCACUUUUAAGUUUAAAACAGUGAGUAUGUGGACUUGAAGAAAACAGUCUUGAAAUAGUUAUUAGUUUAUGU
rnacentral:lncRNA from 1 species